rnacentral:rRNA from 1 species
UACGUAAGGACCGAGCGUUGUCCGGAAUCAUUGGGCGUAAAGGGUACGUAGGUGGUUAGAAAAGUUAGAAGUGAAAGGCUAUAGCUCAACUAUAGUAAGCGUUUAAAACUGUUUAACUUGAGAGAUGGAAGGGAAAGUGGAAUUCCUAGUGUAGCGGUGAAAUGCGUAGAUAUUAGGAGGAAUACCGGUGGCGAAGGCGCCUUUCUGGCUAAUAACUGACGCUGAGGUACGAAAGCGUGGGGAGCAAACAGG